ACGCCAAGGAAGCUUGCUGCUGGUGAACUUGAGCAAGAGAAUGGCCUCUUUUAAUAAGCUCAAUAUUAUAGCACUUCUCCUAAUCUUCUUAUUAUCAGCUUGUCGUGCUCCAUGCAGUUCUGCUUCCUCACUUCAUCAACGUGAGAAGCACAAUCCGAGGUGGUUUUCGAAUUGCAGACAUGGAUA